rnacentral:rRNA from 1 species
AGCAGCCGCGGUAAUUCCAGCUCCAAUAGCGUAUAUUAAAGUUGUUGCAGUUAAAAAGCUCGUAGUUGAAUUUCGGGAUUGGCGCAUCGGUCGUGCCUUACGGGGUAUGAACUGGUGCAGUCAAUUUCUCACCUUCUGGAGAACCGCGAUGUCCUUAAUUGGGUGCCGCGGGGAACCAGGACCUUUACUUUGAAAAAAUUAGAGUGUUUAAAGCAGGCAUUUUUGCUUGAAUACAUUAGCAUGGAAUAAUAAAAUAGGACGGCAUGGCUCUAUUUUGUUGGUUUCUAGGACCACCGUAAUGAUUAAUAGGGAUAGUUGGGGGCAUUAGUAUUCAAUUGUCAGAGGUGAAAUUCUUGGAUUUAUUGAAGACUAACUACUGCGAAAGCAUUUGCCAAGGAUGUUUUCAUUAAUCAAGAACGAAAGUUAGGGGAUCGAAGACGACCAGAUACCGUCGUAGUCUUAACCCAUAAACUAUGCCGACUAGGAAUCAGACGAUGUUAAUUUUUUAAUGACUCGUUUGGCACCUUUACGG